AGAUUGAACGCUGGCGGCAUGCCUUACACAUGCAAGUCGAACGGCAGCACGGGAGCAAUCCUGGUGGCGAGUGGCGAACGGGUGACGUAAUACAUCGGAACGUGCCCAAUCGUGGGGGAUAACGCAGCGAAAGCUAGUGCUAAUACCGCAUAAGAUCUACGGAUGAAAGCAGGGGAUCGCAAGACCUUGCGCGAAAUGGAGCGGCCGAUGGCAGAUUAGGUAGUGGUGAGGUAAAAGGCUCACCAAGACCUUCGAUCUGUAGCUGGUCUGAGAGGACGACCAGCCACACUGGACUGAGACAGGCCCAGACUCUACGGGAGCAGCAGUGGGGAACUUUUGGACAAUGGGCGAAAAGCCUGAUACCAGCCAUGACCGCGUGACAGGAUAGAAGGCCGUGGUAGUAACUA
rnacentral:rRNA from 1 species